rnacentral:tRNA from 1 species
GGCGCGGUGGCAAAGUGGCUAUGCAGCGGAUUGCAAAUCCGCGAAGGUUGGUUCGAUUCCAGCCCGCGCCUCCA